AUUGCCGGGAUCCGGGUGUUCCCUCUCCCCGUGAUCUAAAGCUUGCUGGAAACUUGUCACCCUAGUUAACAGGAGUUUUCGGCUCAGCGCGUGUGCUCUGCCGAGAGAGGAAAAGAGGAGGGAUUCGACCGCACGUACAGCUGCACUGCUCUCCAGAACAGAGCACGGGCAUGGUGAGGUUGUGCUCUGCAGACGUGCUCUCUUGAUGUACGAGAGUGAAAUGCUGAGUGAAGCAGGUAGAUACAGGCAAAAGAGAGACACAUAAUGCAGGACACCAGACCUGCCUUUUGUGCCGAAACAACAUUCCCCCUAUAUACGACUGAUGAAGACAGCGCUGCCACAGUCUUGCCCUUCCCCCUUGUACCAGCAUUUCCAAGUUCCAGUGACAAGUUUGUUCGGGAGCUAAACCAGCAGAAAAUUAACAUCGCAAAAGUAAACGAAUGGAGGAAGGGAGAAUGCGAGUCUAGGACUGAUAGAGUGGGACUGCCACAGAGCUGAUUUCAAUCAGCUGAACCUGCUGUGGAAUUGAACACUUGGAAUCGCUUCCCUCCGUUGGAUACGUUUAAAAUUGGAUUCAAAUUCACACACACAGGCAUGAGCUCCCCCAAGCACCGUCUGGCCGUAGUCUGUCCCCUGGUUGCAACAUAAAGGUGUUUAUGUCAGUUCAGGGUAGUAUAUCAGUAACUUCGCUUCAAAGACAGCCACAGAACCAGCCGGUAUCAAGAAUCCCACAGUUACAUGGGAGCUUACAGGAUUGCUGCUGGCGGGGAACUGAGGUAAAAACCAGGCAGCUCAGCUUAAAUGCCAGAUCCAUGAAGGGGGCACCAUCAAAGCUGGAGUUAAAACCUAACAGUUACCCUUCAGCCCUGAACCAAGACCUGAAAACUAACUUCCUUUUGUACCACACUUGAAAUCCCAAAGCCUUUUCAGAAAUAUGGAUACACCCUGAUAAUUUAAAAAAAAUAAAUUGUGAACCCAGGCAAGAGAAUACGCAAAAACACGCCUUGUUUGGCAAGGUAUUUUGCCAAAUACAUCCAUUCAACCCCAUGGAAAAUGGACAAGUAAGGUAAUUGCAGUGGUUGACCUAAGGCCUGGUCCAUGCAUACCUGGUGUACUGCACUCUGCUCAGCCUUAGUGAGGCUGCAUCUGGAGUACUGUGUCCAGUUUUGCACUCUUCAGUACAAGAGACACAUGGAGCUUCUGGAGUGGGGAACUACAAAGAUGAUUAAGGGAUGAGCAUUUCUCUUAGGAGGAAAGGCUGCAGGAGCUUCAGCCUUGAGAAGAGAUGACCGAGAGGGGACCUCAUCGAUGUCUAUAAGUGUCUGAAGGGAGAGUGUCAUGAGUAUGGAGCCAGACUCUUUUCAGUGUGCCAAGUAAUAAGACAAGAAAAAACAGAAAAUGGUCCACGGAAAGUUCCACCUGAAUAUGAGGAAGAAGUUAUUUACUGUGCAGGUGACCACGCACUGUAACAGAUUGCCCAGAGAAGUUGUGGAGUCUUCCUGACUGGAGGUAUUCAAGAACCAUCCUGAUGCAAUUCUGUGCAACAUGCUUGAGGUCGACUCUACUUGAAUAGGGAGGUUGGACCAGGUGACCCACUGUGGUCCCUUCCAACCUUACCCAUUCUGGAUUCUGUGACACUAAGAGCCCUAUCUUUAGCUGUAUAAAGGUAUUUAAAGAAGCAUGAAAUAACCAGGACUUCCAUUAUAGGUGCUUUAAAGCCACUUGAAAAUGAGGAAAGACAAUACACAGUUCAAAAAUUCUUUCAAUUAAACCUUUGUAUAUUUAUUGCCAAGGGAUCUCACCAAAACUUUCAGAACCGUGUUCUUACAUUUUGCUAUUAUCCUACUCUGCAGUAGUGUGGAAUCCUAAAGAAGUAUCCUGAAGGGAUAUUCUGGGAUUACAAUACUUACAGUUUUCUGAAUUUACCCAGAUUUUGAGAUUCCUUUGUCUGAAACUAUUGCUGGGUAUUUCAGAGGGCGUUCCACAACAAAAGGAGGAGGAUGUCCAUGAACAGCACCAGAAUGGGAUAUAAAGCUACAACUGCAAACCAGAAUUUGGUACUUGAGAAAGGAAUGAGUGAAAUAUAAUACAGCAGACUAAAGCAGUGAGGAAUGUGUUUCUGGACCCAAAUCUGUGAUGCACCGAUGUUUUUCCUGAACAAACACACAAAAGCACGUCAGCAGUGAUUUUUCAUUUCCUCGCUCUGUGAUGAGAUAAAUCCUCCUCUAUGAGCCUGUGGAGUAACACAUUGGAAAUGGAUUUACUCGUAACUUGAGCUCAACAGCUCCUGCUAAACCAGUAAAAAAACCAGAAUAACUCUUCUGAAAGUGAAAUUAAUCCAAAUUAUUCAGAACUAUGUUAUUUUUUAAAACUUCCUUUUACCUAUAUGUUGGGAGAAAUAAAAAAGAAAGCUAUAACAUCAAGGGGAGAUGACUCUGGAAAAACAAGGCUGCAGCAAACUUACCUUUCAUUAGGGACUCCCCAAGUUUAAUGGGCCAUCUUACAAAGAAA